CCAUACGACCGUACCGCAAACCGACACUGGUGCGCGAGAUGAGUAUUCUAAGGCGCUUGAGAGAACUCAGGAGAAGGAACUCGGCAAAUUGACACCGUAACUUCGGAAGAAGGUGUGCCCUAUUAGUGUGUAGUGAACAACGAAGCAUGAAUGGGUUGCAAAAAAUCGGUGGCUGCGACUGUUUAUUAAAAACACAGCACUCUGCAAACACGAAAGUGGACGUAUUGGGUGUGACGCCUGCCCGGUGCUGGAAGAUUAAAUGAUGGGGUGCAAGCUCUUGAUUGAAGUCCCAGUAAACGGCGGCCGUAACGAUAACGGUCCUAAGGUAGCGAAAUUCCUUGUCGGGUAAGUUCCGACCUGCACGAAUGGCGUAACGAUGGCCACACUGUCUCCUCCUGAGACUCAGCGAAGUUGAAAUGUUUGUGAUGAUGCAAUCUCCCCGCGGAAAGACGGAAAGACCCCAUGAACCUUUACUGUAGCUUUGUAUUGGACUUUGAACAGAUCUGUGUAGGAUAGGUGGGAGGCUUUGAAGCAGGGUCGCUAGAUCUUGUGGAGCCAACGUUGAAAUACCACCCUGGUGUGUUUGAGGUUCUAACCUAGGUCCAUUAUCUGGAUCGGGGACAGUGCAUGGUAGGCAGUUUGACUGGGGCGGUCUCCUCCCAAAGCGUAACGGAGGAGUUCGAAGGUACGCUAGUUACGGUCGGACAUCGUGACGAUAGUGCAAUGGCAUAAGCGUGCUUAACUGCGAGACUGACAAGUCGAGCAGAUGCGAAAGCAGGACAUAGUGAUCCGGUGGUUCUGUAUGGAAGGGCCAUCGCUCAACGGAUAAAAGGUACUCUGGGGAUAACAGGCUGAUACCGCCCAAGAGUUCAUAUCGACGGCGGUGUUUGGCACCUCGAUGUCGGCUCAUCUCAUCCUGGGGCUGUAGCCGGUCCCAAGGGUAUGGCUGUUCGCCAUUUAAAGAGGUACGUGAGCUGGGUUUAAAACGUCGUGAGACAGUUUGGUCCCUAUCUUCCGUGGGCGCUGCAGAUUUGAGGAAGCCUGCUCCUAGUACGAGAGGACCGGAGUGGACACACCUCUGGUGUAUCGGUUGUCACGCCAGUGGCAUUGCCGAGUAGCUAAGUGUGGAAGAGAUAACCGCUGAAAGCAUCUAAGCGGGAAACUCGUUUCAAGAUGAGAUCUGCCGGGGCCUUGAGCCCCCUAAAGAGUCGUUCAAGACCAGGACGUUGAUAGGUCAGGUGUGGAAGCGAAU
rnacentral:rRNA from 1 species